AAACAGAGCCUCCUGUAGGCUGCCAGUCCACAUAGGGGCUACCAAACAGCCAAUCACAGCUCUUAUUUGACAUUCCCAUGAAGUUUUUGAUAUUUGUGUUGCUAUCCAACUCUUUUUUACAUUUAAAUGUGGCUCACGAGUAAAAAAGGUUGGGGACCCCUGCCCUAAUGUAUGAUAACACUGUGCUGUAGUUGAAGCUAUACAAUUUUUUAUUUGCAGGGACGGAAAGGAAGAAGUCCAUUAUAUUGUAAAUGUAUCCUUUCUAUUGUAUUGACCAUGAUGUAAAGCAUAUCCAAAAUGCUCCCUAAAGUAAUGGCACACUAGGCAAAUGUUAGCUUUUUGUCUCCUCUUCAUUCAAAGUCAAUGGGUAGCACCAUCAAGCAGAUCUGGACUGGCAGUCAAAAUAGUUUCCAAGUUCCAUGUCCCAAACAGCCGCUCACCAGUACAAUCAACAGUGACGGUUUAAAGGCAUCUUAUACCCUUCUCUCUUGAAUCGGAACCUACAGACUGCCAGUCCAGGCCUCCUGCUGUUGCUAUUGGCUAGCGAUAUGCCAAUAUUGUGGGGGUCAGGAGACGGGCUUGUUACCACUCUAUGCCACCAACAGAUGUCAGUGGGAUGGGGAAACUAUCUGCAGCAUAUAUACAGUGGAACCUCUAUUAUAUCCACUGAUUUUAAGUUUCCCCUCACUUUACAUUGUUGUUUUGUGGCCCCACCUAUAUAUAUUAUGCAUAAUAGAUUUCCAUUUUCCUGGACUUCACACCAUUUUUUUCUGGUCAACCGAAAAAUGUAAAAUGGGGGUUGCCCUGUAGUUAAAAAUUAUUUUGGGCUGCAGCCGGUAAAAAUUAUCCUGAAACCAAUUUAGAUUACGCAGAUUGUAACCUGAACCCACGUGGCUUGCAAUUAAAUCCAUGGGUCCUGCAGGUAUUGGGUCAUUACUACUGCACAUAUGACACUAGGCAAGACCUGUAUACUAGGGAUGCACCGAAUCCACCAUUUCUCUAGACCGGCCCUUCCUGUCAGUGCAGACACCAUGGGGUUAAGUAUCUACCUCCGGAGGCAGGACAGAAGAAAAGAAGAAUCUCAGCUCCGCCCCUUCAUAUAAGCUCCUUGCCCCUCCUGUUCCCCCCAAUUUUUUUCUUCUGUCCUGCUUGGAGGUUAGGACAGCAAUCUAUUUAUUUACUUUUUAUUUUCUCUUCAAACCAUACAUCAUGAGAAAUCAUGUGAUACAGGCCACACUCCAGCCCACAAACCACUCCACACGACUGAGGGACAAGAAAUUGGAGUUACCCAAGCGCAGUAAAAUCUCUCAGAGACGAAUACUGCUGCCUACUACUAGGGGAGCUGAGGAGGAACCUGAAUAUGGGUUCCACUCCAGCCACAAACCACUCUGCUGGACUGGGGGCAAAGAAUGUGAGUUACCCAAAGCGCAGUAAAGUCUCUCAGAGACGAAUACUGCUGCCUACUAGUAGAGGAGGAACCUGAAUACGGGUUCCACUCCAGCCGCAAACCACUCCGCUGGACUGGGGGCAAAGAUAUGUGAGUUACCCAGAUCGCAGUAAGGUCUAUCACAGACGAAUACUGCAGUCUACUAUUAAACCGCACAGUCCCUGACUUUUAUGUAAGGAGCGGUACAUCUUUUACACAAGCGGGAAUCAGCCGGCGCUGACACAGCAACGCACUUCCGGGUUAAGGAAUUGCCGCCCCAACCGGCCACACUUCCGUGUUUUGUUCUACUUCUAAUGCGUAAUCUAUACGUGGGCGCCAUCUUGCUUCAUCAAGGCACGAAUGCUUAUACAGAAGCUUUGGAGCUCAAGCCGAGCAGGCACAAUAGACCUCUACCGAUUACUGUACACAACACAGUAAUGUACUUGGGAACACCAGGAACAAUGUCUAGGAGUAUUACAGCCUGCAGGCCAUUGCAUACUGGGCAGAUAUCUCUCACUUCUAUGAACCCAUAGUAAAGCCUUUAGGCAUUAAAGGUGUCAAUAUUCAAUCACUAAAAGCUACUAUUCUUCCAAUGAGUAUGAGGCAUCUUUCUUCCAUUCAUGAUCCCUAGCCAAUACCACUUCUCAGGACUGGGGGCUACAGGGGAGGAUUGCCACUUAUUGCACAGCUACCUUUCUCUCAGAGAUCGGUUUGCUGUAGAGCCAUUUAGCAGGUGGCUACCUUAAUCACAAGGAACACAGGUACCCAAAGUGAUUUUACGAAAGCGAUCAGUCAAACGAGCACUUCCAGGUUCGGGCGCGAAAGCACCACUGAUGUUAUGCGGCCACCAUUUUGCCUACACUAGUGAAAUUAUACUUCCCCAGUACAAACACCUACAAGGCACAUAAGGGGUAUUAUAGCAAUAAUGCCUGCAGGGCAAUAACAGCAGAAUACUGCUCACAUAAUUCUGCAGGGCAUUAACAGCAGUUGGCAAUACUUCAACGCACACAGCGUUAAUACUGCCCACAUAUGCCACAGAGCAACAACAGCAGUUGGCAAUACAUACAAGGAACAUAGAGUUAAUACAGCUCACAUAAUGCCACAGAGAAUAACAGCAGUUGCCACUAAAUAAUGAUAUUAGCGUAGAAAUUCAAGGUCACUAAGCCAGAUAAUGUCUUGGCCAUUACAGAUACUGUAAACUUCAAUAUACUGCAGUACACUACACAUACAAGGAUACUUAUUCCCAAGAGAAAAUGGGAACAUGGAGUAUAUAUAGUUUGCGGAAGCCACCAGAUUCUGCUACAACAUUAUCUCCACAUCCAGUUCCCUUACAAAGUUAGAUCGUAGUCCCCAUAAAGGACACUCAGACCUUCCACUUCAGCAAAACAGCUCAUGUCAAGAAGUGAAAAGCUCAGAUGAGUUUACAUACAAAUUCCACUGACUAAAAUGAGGUUACUACCAGGAUAGUAAUCUGGAACCGAGAGAGUUAUCAACCAGUGAUUUACUCUGUUGACUCCAAUAUGGAACAGCAGUGCCAUUCAAGGGGGCAACAAUUGGGGCUACACUAGGGGCUAAAGAUAAACAACGCCGGCUUCAAAGGCCGACAAAGUCUUACGAGUCCAUCCCAGGAAUCACAAAGUUUUUCCCUACAUUUAAAGUUUUUUUUCUCAGCAGUCGGCCAUGGUUCUGCACCACAUUACCAACAGAGGGGCAAUUUUCAGAGACUAUGGUCAUAAAGAGGGAAGCUCCUUAAUGAAGGGAUAUACGCAUGCCACAGCUAAUUUAAGACCAGCGGUGGCAUCUGCAAGCUGGGAGCUUACAGCUAGACUCUGGACCAUACACUGAAAAAAAAAAAAUCAUCAGGAGUUAAAAUAAGAACUUGUCCAUGGACACAGUCAGGACACAGUCAGAUUGGCAGCCAAAGCCAGUAUUGACACAGUAGUAGCAAGAAAAGCACUAUUGCUACGUUAUUGGUUGGAGAAAGCAAGUUAUUACAGAGGUCACGGGGGCUAAGAGCACAUCAUUCUUACUAUCAGGGAUGAAACCCAGACAAGAGCAAUCAAACAGACCUUGCAAUAGGUCAUGGAGUAUCUAAAGACGACCUUUUAGUUUCCUUCGCAACUUCACAUUUCGUAUUCAACAAUCAGGCGGAGAGCCCAAGAAAGGCACACCGACUUUGUCCAAUCAAUCAAUGACAGACCAGUAAGUCGGGCUCUCCAGAGCCCAACUCAGACUGACUUGCACAAAUUGUGCGCAGCAAAGUUAGGAAGUCGACUUCAAGAAAUCUUCCACAGUGGCACAACCACAUACAGGAAAAUUGGGUGCUAUCCAUUGUCAACCUGGGAUACAGGAUUCCGUUCGACAAUUUACUCCACUGCAAUUUCAAGAGCUCUACUAAACAAGUCACAGACCUAAUCAACUGAUUUGCUUGGAAUCAAUCUAGCACAUGCUAAUGUCAAUCAGGCAGGAAUGCUACAUUACUGAGGUGGAUCUUAGGACGGUUACGUACAUGUAACCAUCUAUGGGGAAUCCCAGCAUAUAUCUGGGGUUUCUAAUUCAAGACCAUAUAUCGCCGGAGAGCUCCUUGCAACUCCUUGGUUACAUAGAGUGCAAACCCGACUCCAGAAUCGAUGCCGCUAGUUAUUCCCCUCAUAGACAAGAAUAGGUGGGCCAAGCUGAACAAAACAAAGGACAAAGAGGAAUAUGCAGGUCCAUGGACAGAAGAGGAGGCUGUGCUGUCACAAGCUGUAAAAGAGUUGAUUUGAGGAAUCCCGGCGAGCCCAAGAGGAUACUGAGACAAAUCAAACUCUGAGCAUCCCAUUGCUUAUGCAGAACAGAAUUCCUGAUGGAUAUGAAGAUGGAGAGAAGGUUGAUGUUAGCUUACGGCCAGAUUCUGGUAAACCUGCUGUUAGUGGAAUGUUUGGCCUUGAAUUCAGAUGUAUGGAGUUUUGUGCAGCGAUGCUUUGGAAAUUUGGAAUAUGCCAGUAAGAAGCAGAAGAAAAGAGAAGGAUAAAGCAGAAGGGAUAGAAUUGAGAUCAGAAGACAGAGGAAGACAUUACCCUGGGACACUCUCGGGAAUAUGCCAGUAAGAAGCAGAAGAAAAGAGAAGGAUAAAGCAGAAGGGAUAGAAUUGAGAUCAGAAGACAGAGGAAGACAUUACCCUGGGACACUCUCGGGUAAGUAUAGCUUAAAUGGGGUGUCUUCAUUUUGUGCCCUUAUAAGCCACAUGCUUAGGUAGAACUUUACAUAUUUGAUAUAAAACUGUUCAGCGGGGCCCAGGCUUUCAUAUUUAGGGUGUUUUAUCUUGGUACCUAAUAGUAUGUGGAAGAUAAGAUGUUGCAAGCUGGAAGCAUACUUAGGUAAACCUAUACGUAUACGUGCCCGACCACAGAGCCAGCCUAUAUCAGUGGUACAAGGAUAUCUAAUAGGAAUAAUUACAUAAAAAUCUUAUCUGUAUUUGUAUAGAACUGGCUCUUUGCUGUGACAGCUUGGUGCCACCAACCAGUGUGUCAAUCAAUAGGAGCUGCAGCCACAGAGUGCUGUCCAUGGUACUGAAUGGAAAAGGCAGUUUAAGCUUCCCUCAAUAGCUGCAAUAGUGAUUGUAGUAUAUGUACCAUAAGUCACAUGUUAGAUAUGUACUUACUACAGCAAAUGUGUUUUAUGUAACAUAGUAACUUAGAUUGAAAAGAGACACAAUUCCAUCAAGUUGUCCCUGGAUCGACUUGUAGCUAUCUUCCAUAACCCUGUAUUCCAUUACUUGCUAAACACCAUCCAACCCCAUCUUAAAGCUAUCUAAUGUAUCAGCCUGUACCACUGAUUCAGGGAGAGAAUUCCACAUCUUCACAGCUCUCAUUCAGCUCUGGCGCUCUCUAUACCAUAGCUCUCAUAUUAGGUGCAAUUUAUUGCUGAUAUAUAGAGAUAAAUCACUUGUUCAGGACAGUGGAGAUCCAUUGAUGGCUGGAGGGCUCCCUAGGUUUUCCAACAGUUUGCGCAGGAGACAGAGGAAGGGAAGAAGCACACGAGUUCAGCUAGGCAAUGCCUUCAGCACAUUUAUUUGCAGAAGUAUUGAACGCACAAGCUUUCGGGGUCCAACCCCUUCCUCGGGUGCAAGGGAGGGAGG